rnacentral:ncRNA from 1 species
AAUAUAUUGAGUUUGAUCCUGGCUCAGAAUGAACGCUAUUUAUAUGCUUUACACAUGCAAGUGAUAUAUUAUACAAAAAUGAAUAAUAUCGCGUACGGGUGAGUAUACAUAGAAAAUUUACCUUUUAAUUAAUUUAUUAUAUAUCAAUGUUUUUUCAUAAAACUUUGUUAAAAUUUAUUGUAUAAAUAUAUUUUAUAGUAUAUUAAAAUUUACGUUAAAAGAUAAUUCUAUACAAGAUUAGGUAGUUGGUAAUUAAAUAGAUUACCAAGCCUAAGAUCUUUAGUUGAUUUGAGAGAAUGAUCAACCACACUGGAACUGAAACAAGGUCCAGGCUAAUUUAUUGCCAGCAGUGAGGAAUAUUGGACAAUGAACGAAAGUUUGAUCCAGCAAUAUUAAGUAAAUGAAGACAGCUUUUUUCGGUUGUAAACUUUUUUCAUUUUUAAUUAAAUUGAAAUUAUUGAAAAAGAAGUCCCGGCUAAUCUCGUGCCAGCAGCCGCGGUAAAACGGGAGGGGCAAGCGUUAUUCAAAAUUACUGGGUGUAAAGGGUUCGUAGACUGUAUUGUAAGUUAUAAGUUAAAUUUAUAAAAUAUUUUUAAUCAGCUUUUAAAACUGCAUUACUAGAGUUUGUAUUAAAAAAAUAGAAUUUUAUAUGAAGAGUUAAUAUUCUGAGAUAUAUAAAGGAAUUCCUUUUUAGUGAAAACAAUUUUUUAUAAAAACUGACGUUGAGGAACGAAAGUACAGGUAGCAAACAGGAUUAGAGACCCUGGUAGUCUGUACCGUAAACUAUGAAUGCUAAAAUUUAAUUAAAUUUAGAUUUUAUAAGUUAACACAUUAAGCAUUCCACCUGAGGAGUAUAAUCGCAAGGUUGGAACUCAAAGGAAUUGACGGGAGCUUACUAUAAGUGGUGGAGCAUGUGGUUUAAUGCGAUAAUCCGCGCAAAACCUUACCAGUUCUUGAAUUAUAAAAACACAAAAGUUAUUUUAUAAAUAACUUAACUUUUUAUAACAAGUGUUGCACGGCUGUCAUCAGUUCGUGUCGUGAGAUGUUUGGUUAAUUCCUUUAACGAACGCAACUCUUAUCUUUUAUUAUUUUAUAAUAAUUUUUUUAACAAUAUAUUUAUUAAAUUAAUUAUUAUUAUUUAAAAAUAAAGAUACAGUUAUCAUAUAAAUUAAAGAAAGGUAAGAAUUAAGUCAAGUCUUUGUGGCCUUUAUGAACUGGGCUACACACGUGCUACAAUGAAAAUUACAAUAUAUUAUAAUAACUUUUAAAUUAUUAUAUAUAAAAAAUUUUCUUAGUUCGGAUUAUAAACUGUAACUCGUUUAUAUGAAGUUGGAAUCACUAGUAAUCGCAAAUCAGCAUGUUGUGGUGAAUAUAUGUCUUGGCUUUGUACACACCGCCCGUCACAUACAAGAAAUUAAUUUUAUUUGAAGAAUUAAAAAAUAUAAUAAAAUUAAUAUAACAAAAUUAUAUGUUUUAUGUGUUUUUAUAUUUUUAAUUUUAUUGCGAAAUUAAUAACAUGUAUGAAGUCGUAACAAGGUAGCUGUACGGGAACGUGUAGCUGGAAAUUAAAUGAA